UGCGUACAUGUCAUUUUAAUUAAUAAUCCAAACAGAAAACAGACAGGUUGCUGCUUGGCAUCAUUUAUUUGGGCAUGAAAACAUCUGUACAAGAAUCCUCCCGCAGUUUAACACGGCGAAGGACAGCACUGUGGGAAGACAUUACAGUGAGGUUGCACAUGUCAAGUUUAUUUCAACACGGCGCAUUUAAAAAGCUUUAAAAAAAUAAAAGAAUGAUAUUCCACAUCCCACGGAAUAUAUAUAUAUAUAUAUUCAUAAAUUUAUAUGAAAAGAUAUAAAAUCAUGAAAAAAAACGCUCAUUAUUUACGUCUCUAUUUGUGUCUGUGUUCAAGCUACUGCUCACGCUCACUCAUCAUUUAAACGUGUGUGUGUGUGUGUGUGUGUGUGAUGCGCAGUGGCCCAGCCACCAUAUUUAACCUGCGAGACAAAUCACCAAAUAAAUAAAGCGUCCAUGAGGGAGGUGGGGUGGGGUGGGGUGGGGUGGGGAGGGGAGGGGUGGGGAGGGGAGGGGUGGGGUGGGGAGGGGCGGAGGGUUAAUGGAUGCCGGAUGUUGAUUGGUUGGUGUGGCGAGCAUGGGUGUGAAUGUUUAAACUCUGAUCAGAAAGCUUUAAGCGUCUAACAGUGCGAUUAUGCAGAUAUACACGCGUCUCACAGACCAGUGCUCUGACUCGCUGAUCCAGUGUGUGUGUGUGUGUGUCUAUAUAUAUAUAUAUAUAUAUAAAAAAUUAAAAAAGUUUAAAUCCAGCGUUGUUCCUCUUCCUCACUGUUUCAGUUCAGCAGGUCACACACACUGGUGUCCACGCUGCAGAAACACACACACACACACACACACACACCAGGUUUAACAAAGCCAGACAUGCAGAUUAAGUCAAACUCAGGUUAAGAUAUUUGUGUGGGUUUCUAUUAGAACUGGACUAACAGUAAAUGUAUUAGUCAUUAAUCCCUUUCAUAAAGGCACUUUACACAGGAACUGACUGCUGAUGAUCAGCGUGAGUGGAGCGGAAAACCCCGGGACAAUCCGACACGCUGAUGGAGACGCAGCACAAAUUCAAGGUAAUGAUUAAAAAUAAAAAAGUGAGAAAUUAGAGUGGAACAGGAAUAACGGAGCUGUUAGAUGGAAUAGUUCACCAAAAGAAAACAGAACAGUCUGGGGAUAAAGGUGUGUGUCAGGGAUUUUUUUCAACCCAAACCCAUCUGCUCCAUUGGUUCUUUGUUUGGACACGCCCACUAUACCGUUUAUAAUCAGUCCGUACAGGAUUUCUGAGUUUUUUUGUAAUGUUUGAUUGUGCUGCGGCCUCUUUUCAAAAUUUGAGAUGCACCUUGCUGAUUUUUUUUUGUGUAAAACUACUUGAAUUGAUGAAGUCACAAUUACAAUGUGAAACAGCUGUGCGUGGUAUUUCGCAGUGAUGUUUGUCGGUAAAUGAGACUUUUUAGCUGUACUCAUGUUUGCCGCACGUGAAUCGAGGAGGGCUUCGGCUGAAUGCACGUCGUGAUGAGGUCACAUGACACGUCUUAGCCCACACCCAAACAAAAUCUGCUGUAAUUUUGAAAAAUUGCAAGCUCCUCGGAAUAUUGCGCCAUUUCCUUGAUUUUGCGUUAAUUUCUGCGAUCGUAAAAUCAUCAAAUCCUGGCGGGACUGGACUCCAUUAGUUCUGACUCCCAAAAUACAAACAAAUGAGUCAUUCAACUGGACAGACCCUGAGAUGGUUUGGGGGAUGGAUAGAUGGACAGAGGGAUGAAUUGAGGGACAGAUGGAAGG
ensembl:lncRNA